rnacentral:rRNA from 1 species
GAUGAACGCUAGCGGCAGGCUUAAUACAUGCAAGUCGUGGGGCAGCAUGAAUGUAGCAAUACAUUUGAUGGCGACCGGCAAACGGGUGCGGAACACGUACACAACCUUCCUAUAAGUGGGGAAUAGCCCAGAGAAAUUUGGAUUAAUACCCCGUAACAUAAUGAUGUGGCAUCACAUUAUUAUCAUAGCUUCGGCGCUUAUUGAUGGGUGUGCGGCUGAUUAGAUAGUUGGCGGGGUAACGGCCCACCAAGUCUACGAUCAGUAGCUGGUGUGAGAGCAAGCACAGCCACACGGGCAGUGAGACAGGGGCCCGACUCCGACGGGAGGCAGCAGUAAGGAAUAUUGGUCAAUGGACGCAAGUCUGAACCAGCCAUGCCGCGUGAAGGAUUAAGGUCCUCUGGAUUGUAAACUUCUUUUAUCUGGGACGAAAAAAGGCGAUUCUUCGUCACUUGACGGUACCAGAUGAAUAAGCACCGGCUAACUCCGUGCCAGCAGCCGCAGUAAAAC